GCCAGGCAGAAGGAAACAAUGGUUGGGCAGGUGCCAAGGCUUUAGAAAAAAACUGAGGUCCCAAGAGAGAAACCAGAGCUGCCCUGUUGCACUUACUUCAAGGAGGAAUCAACCCCUGGGGAGUUGACCCCUGAGUCAGAAAGCAAAGAGAGGAGGGAGUCUGACAAUAUGUUGAGUAGCCCUUUCUCGUCCCAGAAAACCUCAAGAGCUUCCCAUCAAGUUACCAAGGUAACUGCAGCCCAGCAAGAUUCACAGUGAUGAGGGAAAGAAAGCAGAGACUGAUAGCAGCCCCAGGACAGGCUGCCAGGGUGGAGGCACACAUCUCAGGGUAAGCAGGGACGCAGAGGCUUCGGGCCAGAGCGAACAUCCCCUGCCUCCCUGUCCAGCCUGUUCCAGGAUCUGUUUUCCUGAAGUUUGCAGGUUUAUACAGCCCAGGUAGGUGAGAAGACAGCAUCAAAGCUCCCCUCACUGUCAGGUGGGGAUGACGGGGUGCUUUUCCACAGUUUCCCAGAAUGGCAGAUGUCAUGGCUAC